CAAUGUUACAUAUAUUAUAAUAAUUCAAUCCAAAAAAAUAACUGGAGGUGAAGAGAUGAGGUUAAGUCAGCAUAUCUUCUUGUGGGAAAUCCUUGCUGGAUGCCAGGGUGCAACCUGCUCUUUUCUGACUGCCUUUAGGUCAUCAGAAUUUCUUGAAUUUACCAAUGAACCAUCAUCAAGUUAAAUGGCAUCUGGUUGCGAAAAUCAACCCCAAUCAUUGUUUUUAAAAACAUUUGGAGAGUUCAGUAAG
rnacentral:lncRNA from 1 species